rnacentral:ribozyme from 1 species
AUGACCAUUUUUCAUGAUCAGCUCGAAAGUUUUGGAGGGGGUUGCAGUUCCACCAGCGAGAGUUCUGGACAUCGUGUCCGAGUUGCUCUUUGGAAAUA